AACGUAGGACGCAAGCGUUAUCCGGAAUUACUGGGCGUAAAGCGCGUGUAGGUGGUUUGAUAAGUCACUGUUGAAAGCUCCCGGCUAAACUGGGAGAGGUGCGGUGAGACUGUCAGGCUAGAGUAUGGGAGAGGGAUGCAGAAUUCCGGGUGUAGUGGUGAAAUGCGUAGAGAUCCGGAGGAAUACCAGAGGCGAAGGCGGCAUCCUGGCCUAAAACUGACACUGAGACGCGAAAGCAUGUGGAGCGAACGGG
rnacentral:rRNA from 1 species